rnacentral:rRNA from 1 species
UACAUGGGGUGCAAACGUUGCUCGGAAUUAUUGGGCGUAAAGCGCGCGUAGGCGGUUACUCAAGUCGGAUGUGAAAGCCCUCGGCUUAACUGAGGAAGUGCACCCGAAACUGAGUAGCUAGAGUACUAAAGAGGGUCGCGGAAUUCCCGGUGUAGAGGUGAAAUUCGUAGAGAUCCGGAGGAACACCAGUGGCGAAGGCGGCUGCCUGGGCCUGGCCUGACGCUGAGGCGCGAAAGCGUGGGGAGCAAUCCGG